GGACGCGGUCGCCAUGACGGCGGCGGCGGCUGUUUCCGCGGGCUUCUUGGGUCCUUGCGUGGGCCUUGCCACCGCUCACUACUUUCCCAUGCCACACAGGCUCCCGCAAUUUCACCUUGCGGUCUCACGGCUAUUUUUAUUGCCGGGGGGAGUUGCUCCUCAGUCCGGCCUUGAAAGGGCCGCUUCGACGGCGUGGGGGCUCCACAGGAAGGCGUGGUCUUGGAGAGGACGCUGCCUUUCCAAGAUGCGCAGAUGUCCAUCGUCUUUCCUGUCACCGGCAACGGAGGCCUUGCCCUCCCAGCUCGUCCAAGACCUCAGUGCGAGAGGAAGAAUUAAUGAUUGCCCUAAAGGGCAUCUUCCUGCUUACCCUGCACUCCAUGGCUCUCCUCCCGGCGCUUUUAGGAACGCGGAGGGGGCUUCUCCACGAAUAAGGGAUUGGUGUUACCCGCACAUUCUACGUUUAUCCAGAUAUUUGCCCAUGAAUGUACAUUGCAGCGUGGUUUUUAAUAGGAAACGACCUAAAUGUCCCUCAGAAUGGGAUAGUAAUAGAAAACAAUAUAGCCUUUAUGAAUUACUAAAGAGUUAUUAAAAGAAGUAGAUCUGUAAUGGUAAGAAACACCAACAGCAGGCAGUUGCAAAAUAAUGCAUAUUUAUGGUUGCAUUUGUAUUUUAAGUUAUAUAAACAUGCAUAUAUUUUAGCAAAUUCAUGGGGAGAGAUAUCACACUAAAGAGGACAGCAACUCCGAAAAAGUAUGUGUUGGUGAGUAGAAAGUUUUAAAGUUUUGUUGUGUAUACUUAAGUUUCUACGAAUCUUUAGCAAGGAGAAUUUAUUAAGGUUUUUUGGUGAGUUUUUUGUUUUGUUUGUUUUGUGUGUGUGUGUGUAACGUCAAGUACCAAAAUAAAUAAUCAAUGUCCAGUGCUCUCCUCCCCACCCCCACCUUACUGGCCAUUGAACUGAGGGGCACUCUAUCACUGAGCUACAUCCCCAGUCCUUUUUAUUUUUUAUUUUAAGACAAGGUCUUACCCAGGAGUUGUCCAGGCUAGCCUCAGACUUACCAUCUUCUGCCUCAGCUUCCCAAGUAGCUGGUGUUGCAGGCAUGCACCACAGUACCCAGGUAGAAUUUCUCUUGAAAAGCUUUGUUCUAGAUAUUAUUGUUUGGAUAUGGUUUGAAUGCCAUCCUCCAAGUUUUCAUGUGUUGAAGUUUGAUCCCCACUGUGAGGUAUUAAGAAGGUGGAAAUGGAGCUGGGGUUGUAGCUCAGUGGUUGAACGCUUGCCUCCAAUGCGUGAGGAACUGGGUUCUAUCCUCAGCACCACAUAAAAUAUAAAUAAAUGAAUAAAUAAAACAAAGAUAUUUAAAAAAAAAAAGAAUGUGGAAAUGUGUGUGGCUGGGAUUAUAGCUCAGUGGUAGAGCCAGCAGGAGGUCUCCAACACCGUUGAAAUGUCAAGGUGGAAAUUUAUACAAUAAUAGUAUUGAGAGGUAGAGCCUUUGUGAGUUGAUUUAGAUAUAAGGUUAUUAGAUAUUAUUGUUGUUUGGAUAUGGUUUGAAUGCUAUCUUCCAAGUUUUCAUGUGUUGAAGUUUGAUCCCCAUUGUGAGGUAUUAAGAAGGUGGAAAUGGGGCCGGGGUUGUAGCUCAGAGGGAGAGAAUUCGGGAGAAAUGAACAUACCUGUCCCUUAAUCUCUUUCUGUGUGAUAACCCUGAACCACCUUGGGAUUCUGUCAGCAAGCAGACCAUUACCACAUGCACACUUAGGCCAGAAUUCUGACCCAAAAUAAACCUCUUUGUUAAAAAAUACAGCCCCAGGUAUUUUGUUGCAGUAAUGAAAAACAAAUACAGAGACCACAGAUUUGCAGUGGAUCAAAUAUUUACCGAGUGCCAACUCUACUUAAUCGUAAAAAUAAUAAAAUAGACAAAAAUGAUUGACCCAUGCUCCUUUGGUUCUUGCUUGUGGUAUUAGUGCUUAGUGGGCAUUUUAUUUAUUUUUGACCUUCACUUUUUUUUUUUUUUUUUGGAUACAGGGAACUCACUGUGUUGCCAAAGCUCAUCUUGAACUAGUGGACUCAACUGAUGUCCCACCUCAGCCCCCUCAGUAGCUGAGAUUACAGGCAUGCAUCACCAUGCCUAGCUUCUGGCAAACUUUUUUCACAUUACUCUCUGAGUGAUCUUGAAAUCUGCUUUGCCGUGUUCUUCACAUUUACUUUAAUCACACAUAAUUAAUCUCCCAAUAGUUCAUUAUGAUAAACUGAAGUUACAAGUAAGAGCAAUUUGAAUCUGCAAAUACACUAAUUUAUUAAUAAGUUUGCAUUGAAAGGGAGUAUCAAGUAAUGAUUAUGGAGAGAAGGCAAAGCCCCGCCCUGAGUUGCUCCAUUUGUAUGGAACAGCAGUGCCUAGCCCUGACUUAUUCCAUUUUAUAAAGCAGUUUGACCCGAGCUACUCCAUUUUGAAUUAAAGUGCUAAAGCAGAAUGACUCGAAAACUUGUCUGAGCAAACAGAUAACCUCCAGAUGGUAGACAUACAGAAUUCAUCAAGAAGAAUAACCUACAGCAAUACAGCAUGAUCAUAAGGCACAAACUGAAAAUUGAAUAAUGAAUAAUAACCACUUGUGAACUUACCAAAUUAAAUCAGAAACUCAUGGAUGCAUGGACAUCAAACCCAUAUCAGAGAAACAAGGCGCCUGAGUUUAUCAAUCUCACCAGAAGUAAUCCUCUCACCUGAAAUACAUAAAAGGAGGAGCACCCCAAAACGGUAAUGGGUGGUGUUGCAACCCAUCCGGUGAACUGCUCAGGAGGUCCACAGGUAACAAACUCCCAACUCUCUUCCUAGGACUUCAGCUCAGCAGGUCCUCACCCUCCCCCACUUCACAACUGCCUGCCCUCUGGACCUUGGCUUAGAAUAAGUUCAGCACCCUGAUAGCCUUGACCCCUGAGCAAGUUCUUCAGCUGGUUCCUGAUCUGACCACUUGCAGUAAGUCUUCUGUAGUUAUAUUGCUCCCUGCCAUAGGGCCUCUUGAAACCCUGUGUCCACCCUUAACCUUCCUUAGCCUUCUGUAACCUAUAUAGCAUUGUGUUAAGUAUGAUGUGUGAUUUGAGUGUUAUAAACAUUAGUAAUUAAGACUGAAAUGGAAUGGAAGAAAUUAUGAUUGCCUGGGUCAUAACACCAAGUGAACCAUGAGUAUCUUCAGGAAUUUGAAGCUGAUGAAAUUGAUGUAGCUUGUAAAUUUAUUAUUACUCAAUAAAUCCUGACAAUGUGGAAAGACACAAA
rnacentral:lncRNA from 1 species